AAUAUGCAAUUCAAGUCAUUCAUUUCCAUAUAAUAUCAAGUUCAUACAAGAUCUGAUGUUCAUCAAUGCAUUCGAAGUCAAAGUCAUGCAUUCAAGUCAAAAACAAUCAAUCUCAUUCAAGUAAUCAUGUACUAUCCAUUAUAAUGCUCAUUACAUCAAAAAUACACAAAUUGGAAAUGUUGACUUUAGGCCAAUAGUUGACUUUUUGGCAACUUUGACCAAAGUCAACUCAAUCCUAAAAAACCCUAAAAUCCCAAAUCCUUGUCCUAAUCUUGACCUUGAUCUCCCAUAUUCCAUUUUGAUCUUGGAUUGGCCAAGUAAGCAUAAUGCUCCAUGAUUCUUGUUGUUGUCAUGAAACUUUGUCUGUCCAACACAUGAAGCCAUAACCUGCAGGAGCGGCAAAAGAAAACACAUAAGUAACCCACAACCUGAAGCGAGCCAGUAUGGAUGCACAAAGAAAUUUGCAUAACAUACAAGGCAAUAACAUUACCAAACAUGACCCGCAACCAUAAAAGACAGCAAACA
rnacentral:lncRNA from 1 species